AAGCACAGUCACAAUGCGGAAGAUAAAUCUCUUUCUUUGGACUACAAUAACAGAUUUAAAUGGCUCGUUAAUUUGAAAAAUAAACUUCAUUUUUAAUUGUCACUCAUUAACAGUACAAAGAUAUUUAUUAAAUAAUCGAGAUUAUGUUGCCAAAAAUAAUAAUUCGUAUUAUAUUCGCACUUUUGGCGCGUGUUAUUAACAUUGGCAGCGCAUCACGUUUAAGAUUCGUUGAUAUGAUAUGACAUUUAAACAUAUCGGCAAAAGAGCGUUAUUGGUGCGAUUAAAAGAUAAAGUGACCAACUGCAAUUUGUUAUAAUUGGCAGGUGCACGGGGCAACUCGUUUACUCGAGCCAUCGCAAAGAUCCCCUCUUCCAUCUCUUGCACAGCCGGCAAAGCCGAUGCUGGUGCCGAUUCACAAUUGCCGAGUUCAACCCCGAAAGGGCGCAUCUUUUGUCGAAUAUCUCUUACUCGUCCUCGCUACGUUCAACUGUUACAAUCAGGACAACUUCAGCGAGUGCGGAACGAUGAUCAGAUCUCCAUCGGACAAAACACCGAAGGUUCUUCAAGUUUUUCCCAAAGAAGUUUGCAUACUUCUUCAGAAGCGGAAGUCCUUUAUUUCAAAGGCGAAAUUCAAAUAGAUAAAGUUAUCGAAGUUAUUCAAGAAGAAAUAUUAUUUCACACAUCCGACGAUAGCCGGCAAAUUUUGAGGGCUUCCCGAUAAAGCUGGUUCCCGGUGAGCGUUGCGCGAAGCCAGAAUUGACCUAGUUGCCUAUAAAGCGAUAGGCAAAGUGGCCCCAGCGUCGCGGCGCUAUUUUCGCCCGGCGCGUCGCUAACUUUAGACGUAUGGUCGUCGGACGCUCCCUAAUAAGUUCAAGCGACGAUUAUGGUUGCCGACGCUGCCACCGCCGUAGCCGACGACGACAACGAUGACGCCGACGGAUAAAACAUAACGCCCCGCCGCGAGGCAACGGCGAGCAUGCCAAAAUUAUGCUUGCUCGCAGAGAAGGACCAACACUACUGGCACGGCCGACGACCUCGACUACGCGACUGUGAACACGACUACGAAGAAGCAUCCCUUCGCCCCACGUUUGAGAGUAUAUGGCUUUUACGAAUGGUAUCGGUAACGUUAAUCGGUAAUGUUAACGCGCUGGCUGUAAUCCUAAAAAGAGCCCAGCCAAAGAGGCCAGUUAUGUUUAAAGUUAACCGAUGUUGGGGGAAACGGAUCCUUUAGAGAAAUGAGUAAUUUUAGGAAUCGAGAAAGCACGAGAGAACUCACUUUCUGCCUGUUGUCGAAAUGGAAGGCGGAUAUACAAUUGGAUGCAACAAUUAUGCAAGUGGCUUGACAAUACGCCAAGAAACAAUCUCAAUGAAUAUAGUAAUACGCUGCAAACUUGAACUGCUUCCAGAGAAUUCCAAAGAUUCAUCAAUAAAGAAAAAUUUUUUAAGGCAAGUAAUAUAUUAAAUAAUCAGACAGGAUU